rnacentral:rRNA from 1 species
UACGGGGGGGAGCAAGCGUUGUUCGGAUUUACUGGGCGUAAAGGGCGCGUAGGCGGCGUGGUAAGUCACUUGUGAAAUCUCCGGGCUUAACUCGGAACGGUCAAGUGAUACUGCUGCGCUAGAGUGCGGAAGGGGCAACUGGAAUUCUCGGUGUAGCGGUGAAAUGCGCAGAUAUCGGGAGGAACACCGGUGGCGAAGGCGGUUCUCUGGGCCGAUACUGACGCUGAGGAGCGAAAGCGUGGGGAGCGAACAGG